rnacentral:rRNA from 1 species
UACGUAGGGCGCAAGCGUUGUCCGGAAUUAUUGGGCGUAAAGAGCUCGUAGGCGGCUUGUCGCGUCGGAUGUGAAAGCCCGGGGCUUAACCCCGGGUCUGCAUUCGAUACGGGCAGGCUAGAGUUCGGUAGGGGAGAUCGGAAUUCCUGGUGUAGCGGUGAAAUGCACAGAUAUCAGGAGGAACACCGGUGGCGAAGGCGGAUCUCUGGGCCGAUACUGACGCUGAGGAGCGAAAGCGUGGGGAGCGAACAGG